UACGUAGGGUGCAAGCGUUAAUCGGAAUUACUGGGCGUAAAGCGUGCGCAGGCGGUGAUGUAAGACAGUUGUGAAAUCCCCGGGCUCAGCCUGGGAACUGCAUCUGUGACUGCAUUGCUGGAGUGCGGCAGAGGGGGAUGGAAUUCCGCGUGUAGCAGUGAAAUGCGUAGAUAUGCGGAGGAACACCGAUGGCGAAGGCAAUCCCCUGGGCCUGCACUGACGCUCAUGCACGAAAGCGUGGGGAGCAAACAGG
rnacentral:rRNA from 1 species